ensembl:lncRNA
AAAACAAAGUUGCUAGUAACCCAGUUGCAAUGGACUGUGCUUGAGAACAGACAGAUCCUGUUAGAAGUAACUGUACCUUAUAAUGUCACCCAGCAAGUUGUCCUGGGUCACCACCCUUGAGAAUUUCAGUAUCCUGACAAGUGACUAUCUGCAAAAUUCCACAGAGAAUCACUCACUUCUUCAUUGGUUCCAACAAAUAGUCACCAAAUUCGUCUGCCAGUCACAAUCAAAAGUGUUUGGAUGCCUAAGUGCCUCAGUGCAUAUAACCAACAUCCCUCAUGGUCCUUAGGCCUUGUGAGAGGAGAAAGGAAGUGAGAAAACCAACAGUCAAUAGUAAUUGCAUUUCAGGGCACUGUGGGUGCAGGGGAGACGAGCAGACUGGAGAUCAAGAGAGCUGACGGAAUAGCUGGUCUACUGCCCGAAGGCUCACUGCAAAGACAAGAGGAAGUUCUUUCUGACUAUCUGGGCAAAGAAUGCUGCUGCCUGAAGGAACAGCCGCACAAAACCUUAUCUGCCUGCUCUCUGGAGACGUAGGAACAGGUGGAGAGGUAGAGGGAGAAAUUAUGCUCUGUACGGGUUUAAUAAUAGCCAUAUUUGACCCCCACAGAAAACUGGAGAUAAAACGGCGACUUAGAUUUGCCUUGAGUUAGUAUAAAUGGCCAGACCUUUGUGUUCCUACAUUGAUAUGUCAUAAAGUACAAGCCACCCUCAAAUAGAUUUUGAACAAGCUAGCUAAAGGGAAGGCAGCUAUAAGAGACCUACUGACAUCUCUUCCCAAAGCUUUCAUCCGAAGUCGAAUUGGAAGGACACGUUAAUGUCCGUCUUUGUGGCCUCCCCGUGGCCACACUUACUUACAGCCUAAGGUAGCCAUUGCAACGUCGGCAUUCAUAUUCCAGCUGGCUAGAUGAGAGGAAAGAAAGAAUGGGGUCUAUUCUGAUAGUGGCUUGAAGUACCAGAUUCUAUUGUAAGCCUUGUGUGACUUCAAGCAAAGGUAAGUUCUAUGCUAGGAGUAUGACACGGUCCUGUACUUUCUGCAUUCAGGAGGUUGAGGCAAGGAGAUAUUGAAGCAAGCCUGAGCCACAUAGUUCAAAGCCAGCCUAGAGUGAAACUCUUUUUUCCAAAAGAAGAAAGGAA